rnacentral:rRNA from 1 species
GCUUGUCUCAAAGAUUAAGCCAUGCAUGUCUAAGUAUAAACGACUUUAUACUGUGAAACUGCGAAUGGCUCAUUAUAUCAGUUAUAGUUUAUUUGAUGGUCCUUGCUACUUGGAUAACCGUAGUAAUUCUAGAGCUAAUACAUGCAUCAGACCCCGACUGUUUGGAAGGGGUGUAUUUAUUAGAUGGAAACCAAUGCGGGGCAACCCGGAUUCAGGUGAUUCAUAAUAACUUUCGGAUCGAUGGCAACAUCGAUGCAUCAUUCAAGUUUCUGCCCUAUCAGCUUUGGUUGGUAUGGUAUUGGCAUACCAAGGCGUUAACGGGUAACGGAGAAUUAGGGUUCGAUUCCGGAGAGGGAGCCUGAGAAAUGGCUACCACAUCCAAGGAAGGCAGCAGG